rnacentral:piRNA from 1 species
UGAAAGAAAGAUGCGAUUAGU